GAGGGGAGCCAUCCAAUAAAAUGUAGUGUGAUGCCAUUUCUCAGACCUUCUCUUUUUGAAUUCUUAGGUUACCUGGGUAGAGGAAAACCUGAGAUUGACUCGUGAUAGUAUAAAACAGUUUCGGAUAUCUUGGGUCGGUGAUUCAGGGGGCAGAGAGAUUGACGGGGAUGUAACUCAUUGUAUAGGAGCGGGGUGGUCGAAGUGGAGGCGUGCAUCAGGAGUCCUGUGUGACAAAAGAGUGCCACAGAAACUCAAGGGAAAAUUUUAUAAAGCUGUGGUUAGAUCUGCCAUGUUGUAUGGGGCGGAGUGCUGGCCGGUGAAGAACUCUCAUGUUCAUUAGGUUGCGAAGAUGAGGAUGCCCAGGUGGAUGUGCGGGCUCACCAGGAUACAUCAUUGAUCUCACAGUCGUUCUAUAGUGCCACAGAAACUCAAGGGGAAAUUUUAUAGAGCUGUGGUUAGACCUGCCAAUGUUGUAUGGGGCGGAGUGCUGGCCGGUGAAGAACUCUCAUGUUCAGAGAAUGAAGGUGGCGUAGAUGAGGAUGCUCAGGUGGAUGUGCGGGCUCACCAGGUUAGAUAAGAUUAAGAAUGAAGUUAUUCGAGAGAAGGUGGGGGUGGCCCCGGUGGAUGAGAAGAUGCGUGAAGCGAGGCUCAGGUGAUUCGGGCAUGUGGGGAGGAGAAGUCAUGAUGCCCCAGUGAGGAGUUGUGAGCGACUGGCCGUGGCCGGCGUGAGACGAGGCAGAGGGAGGCCUAAGAGGUAUUGGGGAGAGGUGAUUAGGCAUGACAUGGCUAGAAUGCGAAUUUCCGAGGACAUGGCCCUUGAUAGAAAAGUCUGGAGGUCUAGUAUCAGGGUUGU
rnacentral:lncRNA from 1 species